rnacentral:rRNA from 1 species
UAGGGAAUCUUCGGCAAUGGACGAAAGUCUGACCGAGCAACGCCGCGUGAGUGAAGAAGGUUUUCGGAUCGUAAAACUCUGUUGUUAGAGAAGAACGUUGUGUAGAGUGGAAAAUUACACAAGUGACGGUAUCUAACCAGAAAGGGACGGCUAACUACGUGCCAGCAGCCGCGGUAAUACGUAGGUCCCGAGCGUUGUCCGGAUUUAUUGGGCGUAAAGCGAGCGCAGGUGGUUUAAUAAGUCUGAUGUAAAAGGCAGUGGCUCAACCAUUGUGUGCAUUAGAAACUGUUAGACUUGAGUGCAGUAGAGGAGAGUGGAAUUCCAUGUGUAGCUGUGAAGUGCAUAGAUAGAUAGAGGAACACCGGUGGAGAAAGCGGCUCUCUGGACUGUCACUGACACUGAGGCGCGAGAGCGUGGAUAGCAAAC